rnacentral:rRNA from 1 species
CCUACGGGUGGCAGCAGUCGAGAAUCAUUCACAAUGGGGGAAACCCUGAUGGUGCGACGCCGCGUGGGGGAAUGAAGGUCUUCGGUUUGUAAACCCCUGUCAUGUGGGAGCAAAUUAAAAAGAUAGUACCACAAGAGGAAGAGACGGCUAACUCUGUGCCAGCAGCCGCGGUAAUACAGAGGUCUCAAGCGUUGUUCGGAGUCACUGGGCGUAACGCGUGCGGAGGCUGUUUCGUAAGUCGUGUGUGAAAGGCGCGGGCUCAACCCGCGGACGGCGCAUGAUACUGCGAGACUAGAGUAAUGGAGGGGGAACCGGAAUUCUCGGUGUAGCAGUGAAAUGCGUAGAGAUCGGGAGGAACACUAGUGGCGAAGGCGGGUUCCUGGACAUUAACUGACGCUGAGGCACGAAGGCCAGGGGAGCGAAAGGGAUUAGAUACCCCAGUAGUC